rnacentral:rRNA from 1 species
UACGUAGGGUGCAAGCGUUGUCCGGAAUUAUUGGGCGUAAAGAGCUCGUAGGCGGUUUGUCGCGUCGGCUGUGAAAACCCGGGGCUCAACCCCGGGCCUGCAGUCGAUACGGGCAAACUAGAGUGUGGUAGGGGAGACUGGAAUUCCUGGUGUAGCGGUGAAAUGCGCAGAUAUCAGGAGGAACACCGGUGGCGAAGGCGGGUCUCUGGGCCAUAACUGACGCUGAGGAGCGAAAGCGUGGGGAGCGAACAGG